UAACGGCUCCGUGCGGGUUCGAGCCGCGCUAUCCCUGCCCCUCUUGGCUUUCAGCCGGCUGAGUGCCCGCUCAUCCCCCCGACAUCGCGCCUCUAAGCACGCAGGAGCCUGGGGCUGGGCGAAGAGCCAGCUCAUUAGAUGGUUUCCAGUCACCCAAUCCUUGCCCUGCCCACGGAGCUCGGGGUCUGGCCCCAGCCCUGGGGAUGAGUGUGGGGGGCCGCACCGUGUACAGGCCCAGGCGGCUGGGACCCAGACACAAGAAGAGGGAGUCCUGUGGGGAGAGCAGCGGGCAUGUUCUCUGCGUGGAGAUGCCCCUGUGCGUGUUCAAAAGCAGCUGUACAAAAUCCCUGCUGGUCGGACGCUGAAACGACCUCGGGCCCUGGUUCCCAAACUGGGGUUUGCAAAAUGUUACAGGGGGCUCGUGGGAGGAAUUCCCUAAUGGCGGACAGAGCUGGCCCUAGGGACCCCGGGCAGCACUGGGCCAGCAGCCUGGAGGCCCUAGGCUUCCAAGAGCCAAGCAGAUCAAAGCAAGCGUAUCUAUCACACUGAGGAGAUUUAAACUUCAAGACUCCUUAUAAGCAAUGGAAAGGGAGGUGGAUAUUUAUUCUGUUUUUAAAAUUAAAGAGGCAGCUAGUGUUGUUUCUAAAAUUAUUAGGAAGAACAAGUUUAAGCUUUGUUGUAAUGUGUAUUGUUUGCUGGGACUGCUCAAGACCUGAAUGCCGGGCCAGUGUAACCACUCGGCAAACUAGGCUGCUGGCGAGGGCGCCAAGACUUGGGAGCGCCAAAAAGCGGUGUCCGGCAUCACAGGAGUCAGCUGAGCAGGGCAGGGAGUGAGGCCUCCAUAACAAACCCACCCCCGGAGCGAGGGGUGCUGCGCAGGACGGUCAGUGGGAGCCUGCGGCAGAGCAAGGAGGAGACCGCCAGCUGGGCGCGGUGACCAGCGCAGCCAAGGGAUGGAGCCGCUGGGGGAGGCAGGACGCGGUCCUGAGCUCAGCAGGCUUAUUCAAAGUGAUACAAGCUACGAAAGUGAGAUCUUGGAAGAGUGUUGCCCUUUUCAUAAGUGUGGAAAUUGAUUCAACAUAAAGAAUGCCCCCAUCUCCAUACCGUAAAAUAGUACAUUUUGAGAACCAUGGAUUUCAGAGGCUGGCAUAUACAACAGGAUACAGAUGAUUAAAGAUACUUCUUAUACCUAUAAUGCUGCCAAGGUCAGCAAGACCCUGAAGCAGUGUACCUUGUAAGUGCCAGUCAGGCACAUCAAAGCUUCUUUUUCCCACAAAUGGUCAUUUACAUCCUCUCUCAAACCCUAGGGAUAUUUCUAUUACUUAUUGCUUUAUAUGCCAGUCUCAAAGUCCUGUGAUGUGGUCACCAUCCUGUGGCUGAGCAUGUUCAGACCAUUGCUCUUAGAGACCAUGAACACCACUACUUGCUGAUCAGCAAUAUGAAAUGCUCUCUUCAUUCGAGGGACUCAAAGUGCUGCUUCUAAAGUACCCUAAUCUGAGUAGAGAGACCAUGACCAACUAUGAAGCCUGGAUUCUCUACAUGGUAGUGGAGAGCAUCAUCAUUUUGUGAGCAGAAUGGCACCAAAAUUUCUCGUUUAGCGUGCUAGUGCAAGAAUAUUCAGAUCACAUUCAACCCUUUUUCCUCACCAAUUGACAGUAAAGCAUAUAUGCUAUUGCAAGAAAUCUAUGUGAGGUGGUAGUGAUUUUGUGGGAUUCCUUCCACUUUACAUAAAAAUUUCACAUUGGUGAAGCCUGAGCACUAGUAUAAUAACCCGCCACCCAAACCUGUAAAAAAGGCAAUAAUGUGGGGAAUAAACGUACUCUCUGUCUACACAGCUUUCCCAGCCCUUGGUGUCAGGGAGAUAGAGAUCCUGUAUGAUGUGUGAUAACAUCCACUGGGCUGAACCAGAUACAUUUGUUAUAAGUUAAAGCUGGUGCCUUGAGCUACAAAGGGAGAUAGACAAUUUAUCUGUUUGUUCCUAGGUACAGAAUGGACAAAUUUAUACCAGGGAUUGCAAACACAAGACAUGCCAAAGAAGCCUUCCUCACCAUA